rnacentral:RNase_P_RNA from 2 species
GAAGCGCGCCAGGCCGUCGCUGGCACAGCCCGCAAGGGAACCCGAAAGGGAGUGCUGGAGGAACGUCCGGACUGCACAGGACAGCGUAGGAGGUAACACCUCUCCACCGACAAGCCGCAAGGCCCUAAGGUGAGGAUCAGAGCAACAGAGACGAGCCGCUUCAGUGCGGGUGAAACGGGCAAUCUCUACGCGCAGCAAUACCAAAUAGGCCAGCCUGAGGCGACACGGUUCGCCGUGUUGUUGAUCCUCGUGGUUCCGCGAGGAGAGCUGGCGGGUAGGUAGCACCGAGCCGGGUGGGUGACCCCCGGCCCAGAUGAAUGACGGUCACGUUCAGGGCAACCUGGGCGCACAAAAUCCGGCGUAUCGGCGCGCUUCACAC